rnacentral:rRNA from 1 species
AGAGUUUGAUCAUGGCUCAGAUUGAACGCUGGCGGCAGGCCUAACACAUGCAAGUCGAGCGGUAGCACAGAGAGCUUGCUCUCGGGUGACGAGCGGCGGACGGGUGAGUAAUGUCUGGGAAACUGCCUGAUGGAGGGGGAUAACUACUGGAAACGGUAGCUAAUACCGCAUAACGUCGCAAGACCAAAGUGGGGGACCUUCGGGCCUCAUGCCAUCAGAUGUGCCCAGAUGGGAUUAGCUAGUAGGUGGGGUAAUGGCUCACCUAGGCGACGAUCCCUAGCUGGUCUGAGAGGAUGACCAGCCACACUGGAACUGAGACACGGUCCAGACUCCUACGGGAGGCAGCAGUGGGGAAUAUUGCACAAUGGGCGCAAGCCUGAUGCAGCCAUGCCGCGUGUGUGAAGAAGGCCUUCGGGUUGUAAAGCACUUUCAGCGGGGAGGAAGGCGUUAAGGUUAAUAACCUUGGCGAUUGACGUUACCCGCAGAAGAAGCACCGGCUAACUCCGUGCCAGCAGCCGCGGUAAUACGGAGGGUGCAAGCGUUAAUCGGAAUUACUGGGCGUAAAGCGCACGCAGGCGGUCUGUCAAGUCGGAUGUGAAAUCCCCGGGCUCAACCUGGGAACUGCAUUCGAAACUGGCAGGCUAGAGUCUUGUAGAGGGGGGUAGAAUUCCAGGUGUAGCGGUGAAAUGCGUAGAGAUCUGGAGGAAUACCGGUGGCGAAGGCGGCCCCCUGGACAAAGACUGACGCUCAGGUGCGAAAGCGUGGGGAGCAAACAGGAUUAGAUACCCUGGUAGUCCACGCCGUAAACGAUGUCGAUUUGGAGGUUGUGCCCUUGAGGCGUGGCUUCCGGAGCUAACGCGUUAAAUCGACCGCCUGGGGAGUACGGCCGCAAGGUUAAAACUCAAAUGAAUUGACGGGGGCCCGCACAAGCGGUGGAGCAUGUGGUUUUAAUUCGAUGCAACGCGAAGAACCUUACCUGGUCUUGACAUCCACAGAACUUUCCAGAGAUGGAUUGGUGCCUUCGGGAACUGUGAGACAGGUGCUGCAUGGCUGUCGUCAGCUCGUGUUGUGAAAUGUUGGGUUAAGUCCCGCAACGAGCGCAACCCUUAUCCUUUGUUGCCAGCGGUUAGGCCGGGAACUCAAAGGAGACUGCCAGUGAUAAACUGGAGGAAGGUGGGGAUGACGUCAAGUCAUCAUGGCCCUUACGACCAGGGCUACACACGUGCUACAAUGGCAUAUACAAAGAGAAGCGACCUCGCGAGAGCAAGCGGACCUCAUAAAGUAUGUCGUAGUCCGGAUUGGAGUCUGCAACUCGACUCCAUGAAGUCGGAAUCGCUAGUAAUCGUAGAUCAGAAUGCUACGGUGAAUACGUUCCCGGGCCUUGUACACACCGCCCGUCACACCAUGGGAGUGGGUUGCAAAAGAAGUAGGUAGCUUAACCUUCGGGAGGGCGCUUACCACUUUGUGAUUCAUGACUGGGGUGAAGUCGUAACAAGGUAACCGUAGGGGAACCUGCGGUUGGAUCACCU